rnacentral:rRNA from 1 species
ACAGGCUUAACACAUGCAGGUCGAGGGGCAUCAUGAGGUAGCAAUACCUUGAUGGCGACCGGCGCACGGGUGAGUAACGCGUAUGCAACCUGCCCGAUACCGGGGUAUAGCCCAUGGAAACGUGGAUUAACACCCCAUAGUACUUUUAUCCUGCCUGGGAUGGGAGUUAAAUGUUCAAGGUAUCGGAUGGGCAUGCGUCCUAUUAGUUAGUUGGCGGGGUAACAGCCCACCAAGACGAUGAUAGGUAGGGGUUCUGAGAGGAAGGUCCCCCACAUUGGAACUGAGACACGGUCCAAACUCCUACGGGAGGCAGCAGUGAGGAAUAUUGGUCAAUGGACGAGAGUCUGAACCAGCCAAGUCGCGUGAGGGAAGACUGCCCUAUGGGUUGUAAACCUCUUUUAUAAGGGAAGAAUAAGUUCUACGUGUAGAAUGAUGCCUGUACCUUAUGAAUAAGCAUCGGCUAACUCCGUGCCAGCAGCCGCGGUAAUACGGAGGAUGCGAGCGUUAUCCGGAUUUAUUGGGUUUAAAGGGUGCGUAGGCGGUUUAUUAAGUUAGUGGUUAAAUAUUUGAGCUAAACUCAAUUGUGCCAUUAAUACUGGUAAACUGGAGUACAGACGAGGUAGGCGGAAUAAGUUAAGUAGCGGUGAAAUGCAUAGAUAUAACUUAGAACUCCGAUAGCGAAGGCAGCUUACCAGACUGUAACUGACGCUGAUGCACGAGAGCGUGUGUAGCGAACAGGAUUAGAUACCCUGGUAGUCCACGCCGU